rnacentral:rRNA from 1 species
UACGUAGGAGACGAGCGUUGUCCGGAGUUACUGGGCGUAAAGGGUGCGUAGGCGGUUGUUUAAGUUUGGUGUGAAAUCUCCCGGCUCAACCGGGAGGGUGCGCCGAAUACUGAACGGCUAGAGUGCGGGAGAGGAGAGUGGAAUUCCUGGUGUAGCGGUGAAAUGCGUAGAUAUCAGGAGGAACACCGGUGGUGUAGACGGCUCUCUGGACCGUAACUGACGCUGAGGCACGACAGCGUGGGGAGCAAACAGG